GAUGAACGCUGGCGGUAUGCUUAACACAUGCCAGUCGAACGGUACCUUCGGGUAUAGUGGCGCACGGGUGAGUAACGCGUGAGAAUCUAUCUUCAGGUCGGGGACAACAGUUAGAAAUGACUGCUAAUACCGGAUGUGCCGAAAGGUAAAAGAUUUAUUGCCUGAAAAAGAGCUCGCGUCAGAUUAGCUAGUAGGUGGUGUAAGAGACUACCUAGGCUUCGAUCUGUAGCUGGUCUGAGAGGACGAUCAGCCACACUGAACCUGAGACACGGUCCAGUCUCCUACGGGAGGCAGCAGUUGGGAAUUUUCCGCAACGGGCCAAAGCCUGACGUAGCAAUACCGCGUGAGGGACGAAGGCCUUUGGGUCGGAAAUCCUUUUUUACAUGGAAGAUUCAGACGGUACCUGAAGAAUAAGCAGCGGCUAACUCUGUG
rnacentral:rRNA from 1 species